ensembl:lncRNA
GCAGGGCUCCAUUUGAGACCCCACACACAGGAGAGCUGGGAUCUCUCCGUCACACGGGACAGGGAGGGAUGCACAACCGGACCAGGGGCUGUCCAGCGUCUGUUCUGAAGGCUCCUGCAGAAAAGCAUAAGAAAAUCCUUCUGAUGAUCCAACAGUUCCAAGGGAGUAGUCAUCAGCAAUUAGAGAAAUCGAAUGUUGCCCAUCAUUGUCUUUGCUGUGUUUCAAAUAUCAAACUGAAAAUCCAGCACACUUAAUAUAUAAUCAGUGAUGCACUUAUUUUGGAUAUGGAAUAGCAAGAUCCUUCAGUGCUACUUGAUAUAGAAAUGAGAGCAUACUGUGGAGAAUUAUACAAGGACCAUACAAGCCUGAUGGCCUUCACAAAAAAUGGCAGAUGAAGUUCAGUAUACGUAAGUGUGAAGCGAUGCACAAAGGGAAAAGCCAUUCUAUAGUCACUUUUGUAACAUCAGGAUAGAUGACUCCAUGAAAAUGUCAGCUCAGUGCUUGGUAAGCAAAAAGCAGAUCAAGAAGAACAGAGACCAUAAUGGGAAACAUCUCAGUCCCACUCUGUAAACCUGUGGUUUAUCUGUACAUUAGAUGCUGUGUACAUUUCUAGUCUCUUAACUACAAGUAUCUCUGUUAGGACAGGAAAAGAUUCAGAGACGACAAUAGAAUGAUCAGUGGAAAUGCCUUCAGUGCAAGGAAUGACUAGAAUUAGGCUAUGACUAUUCAACAUAACAAGAUAAAGCUUUGAGAUGAGGUGGCUGUGGAAGAGAUAUCCAAACUUGUGAUGUGAAUAGAAAACACAUGCUUUAAGUGUUCCCUUUAAGAGCAAGAAUAAGCGGGGGUACUCAGGCUUACAUUCAAGAUAGAGGUAACAAAUCACAUGGUGAGUGAUAGUUCUGUAGAACUUCACUGAAGGUCACUGUGGAUGCAGACUCAUUUGUAGGUACCAAGGGAAACUGGACAAAUACUUAGAAAAGAACGCUGCUCACAAUAGCUCCCAGGAUUGCAGAGAUCUAUGUGAGAAGAGAGCUCAUAGAAUAUUGCUUCCUAGAAGUCCUCUAUAUUUUCUCCUGCUUUCUAGGAUUUUUCUAGAAACAUGGAUUGUAUAUGUAGCAAUUAGACAGAUCAAUACAAUGGGAAAGACAUUACAACAGAGAUGUGAUGAGAGAAAGACCAGCACAAUAGAAAGACGCUAUAAAGGAAAGGAACAAGAUUGCUCACCCAUAUGAGAAGAUCCUAGGUGCACAAGAGAACACUUCACUAAGGAGAGAUCUCUAGAAAGAGAUCCUUCCCUAGCAGGGGUCAGCCCUUCAAUGAGGUCUAAGAGAGGUGCAGCCAGGCUCCACCCCUUCCGCUCACACAGCUGAAUUGCCUUCACCUGUGCUCUCAGGGCUGACUGGGUCCUUUUCCCAGGUGCUCAAUCAGUGGUUCAGGCUGUAACUCAACAGUUCCCCUAUAGUAUCCUAGGAUUUGUCCUGGUGAUAUGUACAUAUUUCCCCCAUGCUUUCUAGGUAUUUUCCAGUCUGCAUCCAGGAGUACUCUCUGCUUUCU